UAGGGAAAGACUUGUAAAUCACAUUGGCAGGUGUCAUGGAAAUGACCCCAAUUUUCAUAUAGUGUGUGGUCUCGAUGGUUGCACGACAUCAUUUAAAAAGUAUUUUUCGUGGAGAAAACAUCUUACACGAAAUCAUGCCGAACAAUCCAGUCAACCCGAGCCCAAAGGCAAUGAAGAUGCUUUGAAUCAAGACCAAAAUCGACACAUAAACCGAGAUGAACUUAAUACCGAAGACAAUGCAAGAUCGACUGCAUUAUAUAUAUUAAAGAUACAAGAACAGUGCUCCCUGACACAUUCAGCGGUUGAAAAAAUAAUUGCGAAUACCACGGGUAUUGUACGGCAGGCGAUAUCCACAGUGGAAAUGCAAGUUGAAAGUUGCCUCAGGGAAUCUAAUAUUGAUCAACAAACUAUCGCGAAGCUCAAAGAAAUUUUUGGAGAAGACAAUGUUGCAACCAAUCCAUUUCACAACUUAGAAACCACAACGCAACAGCUUGCCUACUUUAAGACUGAGUUUCAAUUGAAGGUAAGAUACUAGAUAAGUAUAAUAUUAAUAAUAUUAUUAAUGAGGGAUGUAUUAAACCUGUUCUUUUGGUUUUUGUAACAAGUCAGGGUGGCUUGAUACUGGCAUUGUUAAAGUUUGUAAAUAGUAAAUUCUGUUGACUGCGCUUGUUUACUGGUCCACUUUGUACUAUUUUGCUGAGCCUGUUAUUAGGGACAGACCAUUAGAAAAGUGAUGGGGGGGGGCAAAACAAAACAAAAAAUUAUUCCCAGAAAAAAAUUAAGAAAAAAUAAAAUCUUUCCAGGCAGUGCAAAAAAAAAAUUCCUUGCUUAGAAGAUGGGCCAAGUGGUGUACUGGAGGGAGGGCUCAGGGGGGCUGAGCCCCCUUGUUGUAAUUUCAUGUAGACUUGGGGGCUGCACGUUGGUCAAAUUUAGCAAAAUUUCUCCCACUUGUGUGGGUUCGUAUUGACAGCGGACAUCUUACAGAAAGUGGCUAGUUCUCUGAAAAAUGUUCAGUAAACGAGAAUGUUCUUUAGAAUUGCAUCUCAUUUUCACGCAUCAUUUAACACAAUAAUGAUUUUUGUAAUCUUUAUAUCGCCAUUUUUGUAAUCUUUAUAUCAUUUAGUACCACUAAAUUGUAAAUUUCGACAUACUAAAAUAAAACGCUGUUUUCUGACCAUCAGAAUUCUGUCAAAUC